rnacentral:rRNA from 1 species
AUUGAACGCUGGCGGCAUGCCUUACACAUGCAAGUCGAACGGUAACAGGUCUUCGGAUGCUGACGAGUGGCGAACGGGUGAGUAAUACAUCGGAACGUGCCUAGUAGUGGGGGAUAACUACUCGAAAGAGUGGCUAAUACCGCAUGAGAUCUACGGAUGAAAGCAGGGGAUCGCAAGACCUUGUGCUUCUAGAGCGGCCGAUGGCAGAUUAGGUAGUUGGUGGGAUAAAAGCUUACCAAGCCGACGAUCUGUAGCUGGUCUGAGAGGACGAUCAGCCACACUGGGACUGAGAAACGGCCCAGACUCCUACGGGAGGCAGCAGUGGGGAAUUUUGGACAAUGGGCGCAAGCCUGAUCCAGCAAUGCCGCGUGCAGGAUGAAGGCCUUCGGGUUGUAAACUGCUUUUGUACGGAGCGAAAAGCCCUGGGUUAAUACCCUGGGGUCAUGACGGUACCGUAAGAAUAAGCACCGGCUAACUACGUGCCAGCCGCCGCGGUAACAC